GACGAACGCUGGCGGCGUGCUUAACACAUGCAAGUCGAACGGUAAGGCCCUUCGGGUACGACGAGUGGCGAACGGGUGAGUAACACGUGGGUGAUCUGCCCUGCACUUCGGGAUAAGCUUGGGAAACUGGGUCUAAUACCGGAUAGGACCACGGUCUGCAUGGAUUGUGGUGGAAAGCUUUUGCGGUGUGGGAUGGGCCCGCGGCCUAUCAGCUUGUUGGUGGGGUGAUGGCCUACCAAGGCGACGACGGGUAGCCGGCCUGAGAGGGUGUCCGGCCACACUGGGACUGAGAUACGGCCCAGACUCCUACGGGAGGCAGCAGUGGGGAAUAUUGCACAAUGGGCGCAAGCCUGAUGCAGCGACGCCGCGU
rnacentral:rRNA from 1 species